rnacentral:tRNA from 1 species
UGAUAGCUCAGUUGGUAGAGCAAUCGGCUGUUAACCGAUCGGUCGUAGGUUCGAGUCCUACUC